rnacentral:rRNA from 1 species
UACGGGGGGAGCAAGCGUUGUUCGGAUUUACUGGGCGUAAAGGGCGCGUAGGCGGCUUUGACAAGUCAGUUGUGAAAUCUCCGGGCUUAACUCGGAACGGUCAACUGAUACUGUCGAGCUAGAGUGCAGAAGGGGCAACUGGAAUUCUCGGUGUAGCGGUGAAAUGCGUAGAUAUCGAGAGGAACACCUGCGGCGAAGGCGGGUUGCUGGGCUGACACUGACGCUGAGGCGCGAAAGCUAGGGGAGCGAACG